rnacentral:misc_RNA from 1 species
AACGCACCUUGCACUCUUUGGUAUUCCGAAGAGUAUGUCUGUUUGAGUGUCAUGAAACUCUCAACCCCCUUAUUUUGUAAUGAGAUAAGUGUGGGCUUGGAUUAUGGCUGUCUGUCGGCGUAAUUGUCGGCUCGGCUGAAAUAUACGAGCAACCCAUUUUGAAAUAGACGGUUUGACUCGGCGUAAUAACUAUUUCGCUGAGGACGUCUUCUUUGAAAAUAAGUGGUGCUUCUAGUUCGCUAUUACAGCACCUUUUAAGCUUUAGACCUCAAAUCAGUCAGGACUACCCGCUGAACUUAA